UACGAAGGGGGCUAGCGUUGCUCGGAAUCACUGGGCGUAAAGCGCACGUAGGCGGCUUUCUAAGUCAGGGGUGAAAUCCUGGAGCUCAACUCCAGAACUGCCUUUGAUACUGGAGAGCUUGAGUCCGGAAGAGGUGAGUGGAACUCCGAGUGUAGAGGUGAAAUUCGUAGAUAUUCGGAAGGAAACACCAGUGGCGAAGGCGGCUCACUGGUCCGGUACUGACGCUGAUGUGCGAAAGCGUGGGGAGCAAACAGG
rnacentral:rRNA from 1 species